rnacentral:rRNA from 1 species
ACGAACGCUGGCGGCGUGCCUAACACAUGCAAGUCGAACGGAGUUGAAAGGAGCUUGCUUUUUUCAACUCAGUGGCGGACGGGUGAGUAACGCGUGAGUAACCUGCCUUUCAGAGGGGGAUAACGUUCUGAAAAGAACGCUAAUACCGCAUAAGAUUGUAGCUUCGCAUGGAGCAGCAAUCAAAGGAGCAAUCCGCUGAAAGAUGGACUCGCGUCCGAUUAGAUAGUUGGCGGGGUAACGGCCCACCAAGUCGACGAUCGGUAGCCGGACUGAGAGGUUGAUCGGCCACAUUGGGACUGAGACACGGCCCAGACUCCUACGGGAGGCAGCAGUGAGGGAUAUUGGGCAAUGGGGGAAACCCUGACCCAGCAACGCCGCGUGAGGGAUGACGGUUUUCGGAUUGUAAACCUCUGUCCUCUGUGAAGAUAGUGACGGUAGCAGAGGAGGAAGCUCCGGCUAACUACGUGCCAGCAGCCGCGGUAAUACGUAGGGAGCAAGCGUUGUCCGGAUUUACUGGGUGUAAAGGGUGCGUAGGCGGAUUGGCAAGUCAGAAGUGAAAUCCAUGGGCUUAACCCAUGAACUGCUUUUGAAACUGUUAGUCUUGAGUGAAGUAGAGGUAGGCGGAAUUCCCGGUGUAGCGGUGAAAUGCGUAGAGAUCGGGAGGAACACCAGUGGCGAAGGCGGCCUACUGGGCUUUAACUGACGCUGAGGCACGAAAGUGUGGGUAGCAAACAGGAUUAGAUACCCUGGUAGUCCACACUGUAAACGAUGAUUACUAGGUGUGGGGGGUCUAACCCCCUCCGUGCCGGAGUUAACACAAUAAGUAAUCCACCUGGGGAGUACGACCGCAAGGUUGAAACUCAAAGGAAUUGACGGGGGCCCGCACAAGCAGUGGAGUAUGUGGUUUAAUUCGACGCAACGCGAAGAACCUUACCAAGUCUUGACAUCCUUCUGACCGGUACUUAACCGUACCUUCUCUUCGGAGCAGGAGUGACAGGUGGUGCAUGGUUGUCGUCAGCUCGUGUCGUGAGAUGUUGGGUUAAGUCCCGCAACGAGCGCAACCCUUGUGAUUAGUUGCUACGCAAGAGCACUCUAAUCAGACUGCCGUUGACAAAACGGAGGAAGGUGGGGACGACGUCAAAUCAUCAUGCCCUUUAUGACCUGGGCUACACACGUACUACAAUGGUCGUUAACAGAGGGAAGCAAUACCGCGAGGUGGAGCAAAACCCUAAAAACGGUCUCAGUUCAGAUUGUAGGCUGCAACUCGCCUACAUGAAGUUGGAAUUGCUAGUAAUCGCGGAUCAGCAUGCCGCGGUGAAUACGUUCCCGGGCCUUGUACACACCGCCCGUCACACCAUGAGAGCCGGGGGGACCCGAAGUCGGUAGUCUAACCGCAAGGAGGACGCCGCCGAAGGUAAAACUGGUGAUUGGGGUG